AUUGAACGCUAGCGGGAUGCUUUACACAUGCAAGUCGAACGAGUGGCGGACGGGUGAGUAAUAUAUCGGAAAGUGCCCAGUAGAGGGGGAUAACUACUCGAAAGAGUGGCUAAUACCGCAUACCAUUGGAGCGGCCGAUAUGUGAUUAGCUAGUGGGUGGGGUAAAGGCUCACCAAGGCAACGAUCCGUAGCUGGUGUGAGAGGAUGAUCCGCCACACUGGAACGGAGACACGGUCCAGACUCCUACGGGAGGCAGCAGUGGGGAAUAUUGCACAAGGGGCGCAAGCCUGAUGCAGCCAUGCCGCGUGUAUGAAGAAGGCCCUAGGGUUGUAAAGUACUUUCAGUCGGGAGGCGUUACCGACAGAAUAAGCACCGGCUAACUACGUGCCAGCAGCCGCUGUAAUAC
rnacentral:rRNA from 1 species